GAUGAACGCUAGCUACAGGCUUAACACAUGCAAGUCGCGGGGCAGCAUGGGGGUUGCUUGCAACUCCCGAUGGCGACCGGCGCACGGGUGAGUAACGCGUAUCCAACCUGCCCUUCACCACGGGAUAACCCGGCGAAAGUCGGACUAAUACCGUAUGUUUUCCAUUGACGGCAUCCGAUUUGGACGAAAGGCUUUGCGGUGAAGGAUGGGGAUGCGUCCGAUUAGCCAGACGGCGGGGUAACGGCCCACCGUGGCUACGAUCGGUAGGGGUUCUGAGAGGAAGGUCCCCCACACUGGAACUGAGACACGGUCCAGACUCCUACGGGAGGCAGCAGUGAGGAAUAUUGGUCAAUGGGCGUAAGCCUGAACCAGCCAAGUAGCGUGCAGGAUGACGGCCCUAUGGGUUGUAAACUGCUUUUAUGCGGGGAUAAAGUGGCCCACGUGUGGGCUUUUGCAGGUACCGCAUGAAUAAGGACCGGCUAAUUCCGUG
rnacentral:rRNA from 1 species